UACGUAGGGGGCAAGCGUUGUCCGGAAUCAUUGGGCGUAAAGAGCGUGUAGGCGGCCUGGAAAGUCUGGUGUGAAAUCUUGGGGCUCAACCCCAAGCGGUCACUGGAUACUCUCAGGCUUGAAUCCGGAAGAGGAGAGUGGAAUUCCUGGUGUAGCGGUGGAAUGCGCAGAUAUCAGGAGGAACACCAACGGCGAAGGCAGCUCUCUGGUACGUGAUUGACGCUGAGACGCGAAAGCGUGGGGAGCGAACAGG
rnacentral:rRNA from 1 species